rnacentral:rRNA from 1 species
GACGGACGGUGCAAGCGUUGCUCGGAAUCACUGGGCGUAAAGGGUGCGUAGGCGGCUUGGUAGGUCUGGUGUGAAAGCCCCGGGCUCAGCCCGGGAAGGGCACUAGAAACUGCCAAGCCAGAGUGCCGGAGGGGAGAGUGGAAUUCCUGGUGUAGCGGUGAAAUGCGUAGAGAUCAGGAGGAAUACCGGUGGCGAAAGCGACUCUCUGGACGGCAACUGACGCUGAGGCACGAAAGCGUGGGGAGCAAACAGG